UAUUAUUUGUCCUACAAAAGCCUUGUGUGUG
rnacentral:piRNA from 1 species